CGUUUAGUGUUCCUCUUAUUAUUUAGUAUUCCUCCCUUCAUUAUUUAGUAUUUCGUCCAGCUUGUGUCAGGAUUAAGCAAGCAAAGGUAUGGAAUACGCAAGUGAUUGGAGUCUAGCAUAUGAUUCUCUCGUGCACGUGACUUGGGGUCGCCCUCGCCAGGCACUCCAAGCCCGGAAUAUCUUUGGAAUUCUUCGUGAGAGAAUCUUGGUGCUUGUUUCUGUUGGAUUGCCGGAAAAGCACUUCGCAGUCCAGCGCCGCCUGCAGGCCAUUCCCGACGGACGCAAGAGGUAGUGUGUUAAUGCGUUGUAAUUUCUUUAGCUGUGUCGUAAAUCACAUCACACUACGAAGGUAGCGAUGCUUCGGCCGGUAUCCUCUUAUCGAAAUCCACUAGCGCUCCGCCGUGAGUGUUGGUUCUCCUCCUCUAUGUUAGUAGCGCAUUGCUUAGCAUACGAGAGCUUAGAGAAACAGUAUACGAGGGAGGAGUGGCAGUCGGAGAUUUGAUUUCUCUGUGCAGACGGCGGUGUAUGUGUGUGAUCGUCUCCAAAAGCUGGUUUCAUUUAUCUCUAAUGUGGCGACUUAGAGGAGAGAUUCAGAACGGUGGUCUUUUUCGGGAGUGGGUUUGUAGAGCACUGCGAGUGGAUUUCGUAGUGUGAAGUGAUUUGAAGAAAGCUUAUAGCGAUGAUUGUGCAGACUAGCUGCUCAUUCUGAUGCUGUUGGCAAACGAUACUGAAUCUUCCGUGUACCACCGGUGCGUACCAUCCUUCCCAAGGCAUCGAUAGUGUAUUUACAUUCUUUUCAUCUUUCGUGAAAAUUUUGGGAAUGUCGCCACGUGAAGCAUAGAGUCAAUCCAGAUAUUACAGCUCUGAUAGGUCUUAGAUGGACCCCUGAUGGGUACACUUGAGGACAGUAGUGCUUUGAACCUGUUGCUGAAGAGACCGGCGCCAUACCUUCACACGGCAUUAUUUAGGUGGUGCGAAUGUGGCUGUUCUUCAUGACGGUAAAACAAGCCGCGCUUCUAUCGGAUAAGUCGAGUUCUGGCACGUCGUAAUACGGAAAGCGCAGAAGUUGCUCUUCUUCAAUAUGGGGGCUGCGGUGGGGAGCGUAGAGGAAGAGUUGUUAUCGAUACUAUGUCCGCUUUGUAGGGCGCUAGGAAAUUGCUUUGGCCCCCUGACAAAGUGCUUUCUGGCGAGCAGCUGGAGGAGGCCCCCUGGCUAUGAAGAUCCCUCAGUUCUCGCUAAGGAAACCGUGUUCAGUGUCGAUGAGGUAGAAGCGCUGUAUGAGCUUUUCAUGAAGAUUAGCCACUCGGUUAUCGACGAUGGCCUUAUACACAAGGAAGAGUUUCAAUUGGCGUUGUUUGGGGACAGUGAAAGGAAAAACUUGUUCGCAGAUCGGGUAUUUUACCUAUUUGACCGAAAACAGAAUGGUGUGAUCGAGUUUGGCGAAUUCGUGCGCUCUCUGAGCGUAUUCCAUCCCAUGGCUCGUGCUGAAGACAAAAUUCAAUUUGCAUUCAAGUUGUACGAUCUACACCAAACAGGUUACAUAGAACGUGAAGAGGUGAAGGAAAUGCUGGAUGCAAUCCUGUGCGAAUCGACCCUAGAUCUGUCACCCGAGGUUAUCGAGACUAUUUUGGACAUGACAUUCGCAGAGGCUGGUACGAAGCUUGCUGGUCGUAUCGAUGAAGAAGAGUGGGAGAGACUGGUUAGGCGUCACCCGGGGCUUAUGCAAAAUAUGACUCUUCCUUAUCUAAGGGACAUCAUCACAGCGUUUCCGAGCUUUUCUCGCAAAAUUGACAAAGAUUGAGUAGGAGCAGAUUGACAGUAGAUCAUAUAUUCAGUUUUCACCAAAAUUAGACAAUCGUGCCAUGCCAGAGACUUGAUGUUCUUGCGGAAAUUGUAUCUAUCACCGAAGAUACACGUCUCCAACGUAUAUUUUAACGGUUCGCGACAACCAAGAACAAAUAGGAAACUCCAAUCAGCUCAUCUAUGCCACUGACGACUUAAAGAGUUCUGUUCCACGAUGCUAUCCCGCAUACGCGACAAGAAAGAGGGUCUGUUCCCGUAAGAAUUGCCAUUCCUUGCCACCAAGCAAUUCCUUAAUGUAAAUCCUUUCUCCAUAUCCAGGCCCCGCGUGGAAUGACAUUGGCGUCACAGGUACCAGAGAGAUGUCAACAAGAAACCACAAUUCACUUGGAUUGAAGUUGAAGGAUUAACAGACUGAGUAAACUUGUAGACUUCUGAAUUAAUUUAGUGAAGAGCGAAAUAAAAUCAUAACUACAAAUGUGGACUCACAGAUUCAAUUGGGUUUUUGCAUUAAAUAUCUAGUUUUCAUGAGGUUUUUCAAAUAGCCGUCAAAAUUGGGCACGUGUUUUGCUGACAAGGG